rnacentral:rRNA from 1 species
CCUACGGGUGGCAGCAGUGGGGAAUAUUGCGCAAUGGGCGAAAGCCUGACGCAGCGAAGCCGCGUGAGGGAUGAAGGCCUUCGGGUUGUAAACCUCUGUCAGCAGGGAAGAACGGUCUAUGUGCUAAUCACCCGUGAAUUGACGUUACCCGCAAAGGAAGCACCGGCUAACUCCGUGCCAGCAGCCGCGGUAAUACGGAGGGUGCGAGCGUUAAUCGGAAUUACUGGGCGUAAAGCGCUCGGAGGCGGUAUGUCAAGUCAAGGGUGAAAUGCCCGGGCUCAACGUGGGAACUGCCGUUGAGACUGGCAGGCUGGAGUGUGUGAGAGGAGGGUGGAAUUCCAGGUGUAGGGGUGAAAUGCGUAGAUAUCUGGAGGAACAUCGGUGGCGAAGGCGGCUAACUGGAACAUAACUGACGCUGAGGAGCGAAAGCGUGGGUAGCAAACAGGAUUAGAUACCCGAGUAGUC